rnacentral:rRNA from 1 species
GAUGAACGCUAGCUACAGGCUUAACACAUGCAAGUCGAGGGGCAUCAGGAAGAAAGCUUGCUUUCUUUGCUGGCGACCGGCGCACGGGUGAGUAACACGUAUCCAACCUGCCCUUUACUCGGGGAUAGCCUUUCGAAAGAAAGAUUAAUACCCGAUAGUAUAAUGAUUCCGCAUGGUUUCAUUAUUAAAGGAUUUCCCGGUAAAGGAUGGGGAUGCGUUCCAUUAGGUUGUUGGUGAGGUAACGGCCCACCAAGCCUUCGAUGGAUAGGGGUUCUGAGAGGAAGGUCCCCCACAUUGGAACCUGAGACACGGUCCAAACUCCUACGGGAGGCAGCAGUGAGG